rnacentral:rRNA from 1 species
GGUGAACGCUGGCGGCGUGCCUAAGACAUGCAAGUCGAGCGGGCCGCGGGGUUUUACUCCGUGGUCAGCGGCGGACGGGUGAGUAACGCGUGGGUGACCUACCCGGAAGAGGGGGACAACCCGGGGAAACUCGGGCUAAUCCCCCAUGUGGACCCGCCCCUUGGGGUGUGUCCAAAGGGCUUUGCCCGCUUCCGGAUGGGCCCGCGUCCCAUCAGCUAGUUGGUGGGGUAAUGGCCCACCAAGGCGACGACGGGUAGCCGGCCUGAGAGGGUGGCCGGCCAGAGGGGCACUGAGACACGGGCCCCACUCCUACGGGAGGCAGCAGUUAGGAAUCUUCCGCAAUGGGCGAAAGCCUGACGGAGCGACGCCGCUUGGAGGAAGAAGCACUUCGGGGUGUAAACUCCUGAACCCGGGACGAAACCCCCGACGAGGGGACUGACGGUACCGGGGUAAUAGCGCCGGCCAACUCCGUG